GAUGAACGCUGGCGGCGUGCCUAAUACAUGCAAGUCGAGCGAACAGACGAGGAGCUUGCUCCUCUGACGUUAGCGGCGGACGGGUGAGUAACACGUGGAUAACCUACCUAUAAGACUGGGAUAACUUCGGGAAACCGGAGCUAAUACCGGAUAAUAUAUUGAACCGCAUGGUUCAAUAGUGAAAGACGGCUUUGCUGUCACUUAUAGAUGGUUCCGCGCCGCAUUAGCUAGUUGGUAAGGUAACGGCUUACCAAGGCAACGAUGCGUAGCCGACCUGAGGGGGUGAUCGGCCACACUGGAACUGAGCCACGGUCCAGACUCCUACGGGAGGCAGCAGUCGGGAAUCUUCCGCAAUGGGCGAAAGCCUGACGCAGCAACGCCGCGUGAGUGAUGAAGGUCUUCGGAUCGUAAAGCUCUGUUAUUAGGGAAGAACAACUGUGGAAGUAACUAUGCACGUCUUGACGGUACCUAAUCAGAAAGCCCCGGCUAACUACGUG
rnacentral:rRNA from 1 species